rnacentral:lncRNA from 1 species
AGUAGGCAUCAACAAGGAUGAAACCUCCUCUGUGAACUGUGAAGCUGAUGGGACAUCUGAUCUUCCUCCUUGGCACCACGGGGAUUUGACCAGAUAACCUAAGGCUUGUUGCUGGGGAGCAGCAGUAGCAGACUGUCAUCAACAAGCGUUUAUUAGAGUUUGAAGAUUGAAGGAGAUUUGUCUCAGGUGUCACAGUAAACACAGGAAGAAGGCCGAGGAGAAGUGGAUGUGGUUGGCUACAGAUCUUUAAAGAGAGGAUGUGAUCCAGCCUUGAGACAGUUUUCAACUGUAACAAAUGGCAUUGCUUGUGAUUGUAUCUAUUGUGGAUGAGGCAAAUAACUGCGGGGCCUGAGUAAUAGCUUCAACUGGGUGAAUUAUAUUUGAGGAAUGGAAGUAUCAUAGAAUCACAGAACAUCCUGAGUUGGAAGGGACCCACAAGGAUCAUCAAGUCCAACUCCUGGCUCCACACAGGACUACAUAAAAGUAAAACGGUAUGUCUGAGAAUGAAUACUGUGCCAGUCAUUCUGAAAUUAUUCACUUAUUGUGGUCAAUUAAUGCUCUUGAAUAUUCUGGAUAUGGAAGAAAAAUUCCAGGAGAAGAUCCCAUUAAAUUUCAGGGAGCUGUUUGUUUCUUGGCUCUUUGAAAAAAAAUGAAGUUAACUAGAAUACUUCUGUGGAAUGUGAAGAAGCCAGGUUUGUCUCAUUUUCUUUAGACCAGGAAAUCAAAUUGUUCCCGUUUCACCAGUCAGAGUGUCUGAAACAUCUGGCUGUUGGUUAUCCUGGUGAAGUGAGGACUCGCUGGAGUCUCUCCUGGUGGUACCCAUCCUCCUCUCACAACUGAAUUCCACUCGUGCAAGAGCUGGUGCCCUAACAGACGUCACAGUGGUACAACUGGUCAAACAUACCGAUACCUUCCAUGAAACGUCAGUUCAGGGGUAUCUCUGUGGUUGUUGUAAGGGCAAGAAAAAUAUGCAGCAAGAAGUUCUCGUUCUUCUCCUUCACUUGGCUGUUCCUGCCCCUCUGCUCCUGCCGCUGCUGACUGUCACGGGGGUUCAGGAUCAGCCCCUUGGUCUGGCAGUGAAGAGCCCUGGUCUGCUUUGUGUCCCUGACAACAAAAAGGAUGCACCCCUGGUGUAA